UGCACUCUACCGCGAGCGCACAGGGUCCGACGUCGCCUGCACCUGCUGUGAGACCGUGGCCGUGCGCCAGCGAGAGAAGGAACAGGACGAGGUGCGGGUGUAGUCGCAGAAACACCGUCAGGCCCAGGCAUUGGCUACACCUGGAGACGAUUUGCUGCCAAGCAGAAAGUAUGUAUGCGCUCUAUAGCAGUAUAGAACUGAACUCCAAUGUAGACCCACAUCACUCGUGUCCAGGAGUUCAGUCCCUAGCUGUAACACCUUCUUAUGAUUCAUCUGUAAUGCUGUUGCUGUAAAGCCUGGUCCGUGAGCACGUAGAAUUUUGUCCAAUGACCCCAAGCUACCCAUCCUUAUUGCUCGCGUGUAAUUAUAUUGCUGUCGCGACUGUACGACGGGCGCCCGCAGUGAGUGUGCGAGUGCGACAGCAACAUAAUUACGCGCGCGCGAUAAGGAUGGGUAGCUUGGGGUCAUUGGACAAAAUUCUACAUGCUCACUGACCAGGCUUUAGCGACAUUGAUCCCCAGUAUAUAAUUAAUCGUAAUGCUAUAUCACAUAGUUAUAUCGAAGGUUUAAAGGAAACUAUUAUUUUAUCAAAGUUUUACAAGUGGUGGGAGUAUCCCCACUGUUUUAUGUUCGUUAUUAUUAAGAAAUAGGCUUUCUGGAUUAGGUUUGAUGUUUUAACGAUAAAACUUAUUUAGUUAAUUAAAAUAUUGUCCUAAGAUUCUUCGCUGAAUAAAGCUGUGUCAAGCGUUUAUAAAUUGAGUUUUUUAAAACCUAAAAACACUUGUAUAAAGCAUUUAAUGUAGAGUUUUAAUUUAAAAACGAUUAUGUUGAUUUUAAUCGGAGUUGCUUUUUAAUUAAACUAAAAUUAGAUUUAUUGAUUGUUCAUAGCUUCCCUAGUUCAUAUUUCUUUUAGGACAUCGUAGUUCUAGUCUUUUGCUUUGCACCUUAAACGGAGUAGGACACACGACUGCAAAUAUUUUUAAGCCAUUUCUCCAUUUAAUGUCGACUGAUAUACUCAACUUUUUCUACAUGUACUGAUAAUGCCCAUUAACUCAAGUCCAGCAGGAAUAGAAUCGGUCGACUAUAGAAAUAAUUAGAUUGGGAUUUUUAUGAAUUGAGUUACCAACAUUCACAGUUGCAUGAAUCAGGAUUAAAGUAUAAAACCAUGAAGAUAGGUUAUCAGUAAUAAAAUAAGGCAGAAAUCCUAAGCUAACUAAGCAAAUUCUCCUUUUCACUAAACUUAACUCUUAAGACGAGGAAAUAAGAUUCAAAAUAUGGUGGCAAUAUUUGAUCAGAGACGGUCGACCAGUAAUAUUUCCUAAAGACGUGCAACUGUUCCUAUGUCCUAAAGAUUGUGUUUCAUGCCAAUCGACUUUAAAGAUUGCAAUAAUUAGAAAAUUAUAUAGUAAGUUCUGACUAUCGGGACACGUAAUCGCAAAUAUCGGACCUAGCUAAUAUACUUAUAUUUACAAAUA